GUGCGUGCCAACCAGGACAGUCGAAGUGUGUCAAGUCUGUGCUAGUGCCUGCUUUCGUAUUUUCAUUAUUGAAUUUUUGAGACUACGUUGUGUAUUGUUUUAAAAUAACUCUUCACCCGACGAUCAAGACACAAACUAGGAACGACCAUCAAGACCAACUCAUAUUUUAAUUUUACUGAAUUGAAGCAAAUUCCCGCGUUGAAGAGAAGCCGACCAGACCAAGAUGGCGGCGUUUGUGGCGAAGCAGAUGGUGGGGAACAAGCUGAACGCUGUUAAAGGU